UACGGGGGGAGCAAGCGUUGUUCGGAUUUACUGGGCGUAAAGGGCGCGUAGGCGGUGCGGUAAGUCACCUGUGAAACCUCUGGGCUCAACUCAGAGCCUGCAGGCGAAACUGCCGUGCUGGAGUGUGGGAGAGGUGCGUGGAAUUCCUGGUGUAGCGGUGAAAUGCGCAGAUAUCAGAAGGAACACCGGUGGCGAAGGCGGGUCUCUGGGCCGAUACUGACGCUGAGGCGCGAAAGCUAGGGUAGCAAACGGG
rnacentral:rRNA from 1 species